UCCCUGACAGUCCAGUGGUUAAGACUCUGUAUUGCCACUAUAGGGGGCACAGGUUCAAUCCCUAGUCAGGGAA
rnacentral:tRNA from 1 species